rnacentral:ncRNA from 1 species
AAGAUGUGUAGGCAAACCAUUGGAAACAAUGGGACGCAAAGCUACGGAACUAAGGCACCGGGAGCGAGCGGAUGCUCCCGGAGGCUAUGUCCGCCGGGUUGCAACU